ACGGAAGGCAGCAGUGAGGAAUAUUGGUCAAUGGGCGGAAGCCUGAACCAGCCAAGUCGCGUGAAGGAUGAAGGUAUUAUGUAUUGUAAACUUCUUUAGACGUAGAGAAAUAAGCCCCUCGUGAGGGGUGAUGCUAGUAUACGUAGAAUGAGGAUCGGCUAACUCCGUGCCAGCAGCCGCGGUAAUACGGAGGAUCCGAGCGUUAUCCGGAUUUAUUGGGUUUAAAGGGUGCGCAGGCGGUCUUUUAAGUCAGUGGUUAAAUCGUGAGGCUCAACCUCAUCACGCCAUUGAUACUGGAGGACUUGAUUGCGGUCGAGGUUGGCGGAAUUCGCCGUGUAGCGGUGAAAUGCAUAGAUAUGGCGAAGAACUCCGAUUGCGUAGGCAGCUGACCAGGCCGUAAAUGACGCUCAUGCACGAAAGUGCGGGGAUCGAACAGGAUUAGAUACCCUGGUA
rnacentral:rRNA from 1 species